rnacentral:misc_RNA from 1 species
AACCAUAGAAACCUGCGGAGUACCUGCGGAGGGAUCAUUACAGAGUUGCAAAACUCCCUAAACCAUUGUGAACGUUACCUAAACCGUUGCUUCGGCGGGCGGCCCGGGUCCUUCCCGGCGCCCCUCGGCCCUCGCGGGCGCCCGCCGGAGGUAAACCAAACUAUUGCAUUGUAUGGCCUCUCUGAGUCUUCUGUACUGAAUAGGUCAAAACUUUCAACAAUGGAUCUCAGAUCGGAAGAG